GUCAUGCCGUGCACUUAGUGUUAGAGCACUGUCAGGGUUACAUUUCAUCACCAGCCCCAUCCCUCAGACUUGUUUUACAUGCUAUUACUAUGUAGUUCCUAGAUUAGCAAUGGAUUUCGCUUCAGUACAUGACCUAUCCAAUUACUGAAUUAGCAGCCAACCUUUCCAAACCGAUAUCACUACAGUAAUGAUAUUACAGUGGCAAUAUAUAUUUUUUUAAAUGUUUGCUUGCUAUGAGUUACUUGACUUUUGAUUAAAUGUUCAGAGAAAGGAGGACCAAAGGAGAAAAAUCCCUCAACCUCCUGUCACAACUGUCCGUUGGAAAAAGUCUUCCAGUGAGCCACAUUGGCAAGAAAGCAUGCAAAGGGGACUCACACCAGAGCCAGAAGCCAUGAUGUUGAAGAUGACGCUCAAGAUUUCAUGUAUCUCUUUUCACACCCUUAUCACACACCAUGGCAGACUUUGGUUGUGUUCCAGGCUGACAACAUUUCAAAGACGUUGCAUUACAUCAACCAAUGAACUUGUGUGCUACAUCCUCGACUGCACAGUCAGGCAACAGACUACUAAAUCAUAUGAAAAGAUGCCUUACUCCAAGAACUCCAGGAGCUCUUGGACAUAUCCGAUGUCCACGAUGAGACCUCACCACCACUGCUCAACGGCCUCAUAAGACUGGGAUACCAGACAGCAAAUGUGUUCAAAAAGGUGGAAGGAGGCGAGGCCAUAUCUCAUUGAUAACUGGCUGGCAGAAGAGGGUAAUCACCCAGAUGUCAACAGUGCAGUACCAACCCUGCUGUAAUGCACUAAAGAAAUUGCUUUUGGGAAGCACAGCCGCGAGCUGCCCAUUGACACGAGCCUACCAGACAAGGUAAAUUACUUCAAUGCUCGCAUCGAGGCAAGCAACACUGAAGCAUGCAUGAGAGCAUCAGCUGUUCCGUACAACUGUGUGAUCAUGCUCUCCGUAGCCGAUGUGAGUAAGACCUUUAAACAGGUCAACAUUCACAAGGCCGCAGGGCUAGACGAAUUACCAGGACGUGUAUUCCGAGCAUGCGCUGACCAACUCGCAAGAGUCAUCACUGACAUUUUCAACCUGUCCCCGACUGAGUCUGUAAUACCGACAUGUUUCAAGCAGACCACCAUAGUCCCUGUG
rnacentral:lncRNA from 1 species